rnacentral:rRNA from 1 species
UUGCAUAUCAAUAAGCGGAGGAAAAGAAACCAACAGGGAUUGCCUUAGUAACGGCGAGUGAAGCGGCAAAAGCUCAAUUUGAAAUCGCUUCGGCGAGUUGUAAGUAAAGUGGUUAGACGCUUUUUAAUAAGUCCCUUGGAACAGGGCGCCAUAGAGGGUGAUAGCCCCGUAUUAAAUUGUCUAGUGUGCUACUUUAGAGCGAGUCGAGUUGUUUGGGAAUGCAGCUCAAAUAGGUGGUAAACUCCAUCUAAAGCUAAAUAUUGCUGGGAGACCGAUAGCGAACAAGUACAGUGAUGGAAAGAUGAAAAGCACUUUGAAAAGAGAGUGAAAUAGCGUGUGAAAUUGUUGGAGGGGAAGGCGAUGGUAGGAAUAAGAGGCUGCGGUUUGAAAUAAAUGUUUUUCGGGCCACGGUCUCCUGAGCCUGCUUUCGCACCCGUCUUGAAACACGGAC